UACGUAGGGUGCGAGCGUUGUCCGGAAUUAUUGGGCGUAAAGGGCUCGUAGGCGGUUUGUCGCGUCGGGAGUGAAAACCUAACAGCUUAACUGUGGGCUUGCUUUCGAUACGGGCAGACUAGAGGUAUGCAGGGGAGAACGGAAUUCCUGGUGUAGCGGUGAAAUGCGCAGAUAUCAGGAGGAACACCGGUGGCGAAGGCGGUUCUCUGGGCAUGAUCUGACGCUGAGGAGCGAAAGUGUGGGGAGCGAACAGG
rnacentral:rRNA from 1 species